rnacentral:rRNA from 1 species
GGAAACCUUACCAGGUCCAGACAUAGUGAGGAUUGACAGAUUGAGAGCUCUUUCUUGAUUCUAUGGGAGGUGGUGCAUGGCCGUUCUUAGUUGGUGGAGUGAUUUGUCUGGUUAAUUCCGUUAACGAACGAGACCCCCGCCUGCUAAAUAGGUCCGUGAAUGAAUUUCAUUGACGAGAUCUUCUUAGAGGGACUUUUGGUGACUAACCAAAGGAAGUUGGGGGCAAUAA